rnacentral:lncRNA from 1 species
AUUCCAAAGAAACGGAUGUCCACCCCAGAUUCUGAGGACCCACUUUUUUUUUUUUUAAAGAUUUUAUUUAUUUAUUUGACAGAGAGAGAUCACAAGUAGGCAGAGAGGCAGGCAGAGAGAGAGAGAGGAGGAAGCAGGUUCCCCGCUGAGCAGAGAGCCCCAUGUGAUGCGGGACUCGAUCCCAGGACCCCGAGAUCAUGACCCGAGCGGAAGGCAGCGGCUUAACCCACUGAGCCACCCAGGCACCCUGAGGACCCACUUUUGAGGCGUUUUCCACUUGUCUGUUUUUGCAUCUGUCAAAUGGUCCCCUGGAGUGGGCUCAUCAACACUUCCACUGUCCUUUCCCAAACAGGGAAUUGUGGGAGGGGAUUCUCCGGCGGGAUUGGCUGCCCCCACCAUACAGACUCAGGGCUAAACGACAGACAUGAUGGAGAGUGUCCCCCACCCCACAUGCCAGUUCCCACCCAAUCUGGAGAUAAGAACACUGCGGCCUGCAGCUAGCCUCCCCUCCCUGAGUCCGGUACAAACCCCGCCCAGACCCGCUGGGGCUGACACCAGGGUGCCAGUCUUGUCGUUUCCAGAGGAUGGCCUGAGAAAGUGGGAGUCGGCUCUGUGCAUGCUGGGAGGAGCUCCCUUUAGCCUUCUUUUCUUCGGGUCGCUGUCCCGCGGACCUUCAGCAUCAAGAUUUGCCACGGCCGCCCGACUUGCGCAGUGCCCGCGCGGUGCCCUCCCUGGGGCCAUGGUGACAAAGCCAAGAUGGGACAUAGAGAAGAACGCAUCUGGGGGAGGAAACUCGGUUGAGAGCCUCUGGAAGACGGGGGUCCCGACUUACACAUCUCUCCAUCUCCAUGGUGGCUGUCACAAGCUCCCACCCAGGUCUGGCUCAGAAGGAACUUCUGUUAGAUUAAACUGA